rnacentral:sRNA from 1 species
CUAACACCGAGCCCGACGGGGCGAAAAGCCGGAACGCCUAUCGGCCCGGUGCUGGCACCUAUUUAGAUG